rnacentral:sRNA from 1 species
UUCUAGCCGUGAUAGGAGCGAAAAUCAUUUUUUGAGAAAGCCUAUUUUUUCUGGUUUUUGCAGAGCGACCGGAGGAAGCUCCUGCAAAGACCAAGAAAAAAAGGAUUUAGAGAAAAAUAUUGUAGCGGAUAGCGCGAUUGGCU